UCAAGCGCAAAAGGGCUUGCGGUGGAUUCCUUGGCGUCAAUGGGCGAUGAAGGGCGUAGCAAGCUGCGAUAAGCUUCGGGGAGCCGCUAACAGGCGUUGAUCCGGAGAUUCCCGAAUGGGGCAACCCUGCACAGGUCAUACUGUGCAAUCUUCGACUGAAUACAUAGGUCGUUGAGGCUAACCAGGAGAAUUGAAACAUCUUAGUACCCUGAGGAACAGAAAGCAAAAGCGAUUCCCUUAGUAGUGGCGAACGAACGGGGAACAGCCUAAACCAAGCGUUACGUUAAAACCCGUGGGUGUUGUACGCUUGGNGUUGUGGGUCUCGAUUUGGCGGAACUACGGAUCUGCCGGAAUGUUACAAAAACAUACUUUAGUUUAGCAGGCUGGAAAGCCUGGCCAUAGAUGGUGAUAGCCCAGUGAACGAAAAGGUAUGUUCAUUCUUGAUUGAGUACCCAAGUACUGCGGGACACGAGAAAUCUUGUAGGAAUCUGGGAGGACCACCUCUCAAGGCUAAAUACCAUUGACGACCGAUAGUGAACUAGUACCGUGAGGGAAAGGUGAAAAGCACCCCGGUAAGGGGAGUGAAAUAGUAUAUGAAACCGCGAGCCUACAAGCAGUGGGAGCACUAUACUCUUGCUUCGGCAGGAGAAUGUGUGACCGCAUACCUUUUGCAUAAUGAGCCGCCGAGUUACUUUACUUAGCAAGGUUAAGCCGAUAGGUGUAGCCGUAGCGAAAGCGAGUCUGAAUAGGGCGUUUAGUUAAGUGGAGUAGACCCGAAGCCGGGUGAUCUACCCAUGUCCAGGGUGAAGCGUAGGUAACACUACGUGGAGGCCCGAACCAGUAGACGUUGAAAAGUCUUUGGAUGAGGUGUGGGUAGGGGUGAAAGGCUAAUCAAACCCGGCAAUAGCUGGUUCUCCCCGAAAUAGUUUUAGGACUAGCCUUGUAUAAUAGUAAACGGAGGUAGGGCGCUGGAUGGACUAGGGGCCUCACCAGGUUACCAAACCCAACCAAUCUUCGAAUUCCGUUUACCGUAUUACAGGAGUCAGACUGCGGGUGAUAAGGUCCGUAGUCGAGAGGGAAAGAGCCCAGACCACCAGCUAAGGUCCCUAAGAUAGACUAAGUGGGAAAGGUUGUAGGAAUACACAGACAAUCAGGAGGUUGGCUUAGAAGCAGCAAUCCUUUAAAGAAAGCGUAAUAGCUCACUGAUCAAGUGUACCUGCGCCGAAAAUUUAACGGGGCUAAGUUUAUCACCGAAGCUGUGGAUUGGAGAUAACUUCGGUUAUCUCUUCUGGUAGGGGAGCGUUCCAUACUGGGCUGAAGCUCGAUCGUAAGAACGGGUGGACUGUAUGGAAGUGAGUAUGGCGGCAUGAGUAACGAUAAAACAGGUGAGAAACCUGUUCGCCGAAAAUCCAAGGGUUCCUGAGGAAGGUUAAUCCACUCAGGGUAAGUCGACCCCUAAGGCGAGGCCGAAAGGCGUAGCUGAUGGGAAGCGGGUUAAUAUUCCCGUACCACUUGAAUCGCGUUAUUAGCGAUGGGGUAACGUAGAAGGGUAAUUUAUCCGGGUGUUGGACGUCCCGGUUCAAGCAUGUAGGAGGGUGACUUUGGCAAAUCCGGGUCACCAUUAACUCUGAGGUGUGAUGAGGAGCUUCUCCUUCGGGACAAGCGAACUAAAUGAUCCCAUGCUACCGAGAAAAACCUCUAGUGAGCUAUUCAGGUGAUCGUACCCUAAACCGACACGGGUGGAUGAGUAGAGAAUACUAAGGCGCUUGAGAGAACUCUGGUUAAGGAACUCGGCAAAUUAGCUCCGUAACUUCGGGAUAAGGAGUGCCCUCAUAAGGUGAAAGAACUUGCUUCUGGAGCUGAAGGGGGUUGCAGUGACCAGGUAGCCGCGACUGUUUACUAAAAACACAGGACUCUGCUAAGUCGCAAGACGACGUAUAGGGUCUGACGCCUGCCCGGUGCCGGAAGGUUAAAAGGAGGGGUUAACCCUUGGGUGAAGCUCCGAAUUGAAGCCCCGGUAAACGGCGGCCGUAACUAUAACGGUCCUAAGGUAGCGAAAUUCCUUGUCGGGUAAGUUCCGACCUGCACGAAUGGCGUAACGAUGGCUACACUGUCUCAACCAGAGACUCAGUGAAAUUGACAUACCGGUGAAGAUGCCGGUUU
rnacentral:rRNA from 1 species